rnacentral:misc_RNA from 1 species
UUAAGUUCAGCGGGUAUCCCUACCUGAUCCGAGGUCAACCUUGAUAGAAAGGGGUUCGUCAUUCGGCGCGACACGGACACGCUUCCAAGGCGAGGCUGCGAAAGCUCUGCUACGCCUGAAGCGGGACCGCGCGGCCGGGGUCUUCGAGGCCCGUCCUGUGGGGACGAGGCCCAAUACCAAGCUGGGCUUGAUUGGUGAAA